AUUUGUUGGGACAAAAGAGAAAGAGAAAAGCGUGUGUGCGAUGAGAAUAUCUCCGGAUUCUCUUCCUAUCUUCUCAAUUCAUUAUAUAUAUAUUAUGUAAUCAAAAAAUAUUUUAAAUUAUUUUAUUAAAAAUUAAACACAGUAAAAUGAACUAAAAUGUACAAUAAACUGAUAAGAUGUGAGAAUAUUCGCGUGUGUGUGAGAGUGGCCACUCUGGAAUCUGGAUACUUUACCCCAUCUCUGGUUGUGGUAUUAUUGGGAUUUUAUAUAGAAUUGCAGUUGAAAUUGGAUGGAGUUCAAUAUGGUUUUUUUAUUCAGUAAUAUUGUCGAUACUGAAAUAUUUGGUGUCAAAUUCUGUUCCAACAUUUGUAUAUAUUAAUUCUUUGUCAUCUUAAUUUUUCUGGAGUUAAAAUUCAUUCAUCAUAUUUGAGAAUUUUUUUUUUGUUUAUCAUGAUUUCAGUUUUUUUUCAUCCUUUGUUACUCUUAUUAAGUAUGGAAAGAGUGCUUGAAAACCUAGUUAACGGUUGAAUUUGCAAUUGUAAAGUAUUAUGACUCAUUUAGAAGUAUUUUUAAAAUAACUAAAAGUGUUUUUAAGGAAAAUAUUUUUGAGUUUCAAAAGCACUUAAAGUGCUUCAUGCUAAAAACACAAGUUAGGUGCUUUUUAUAAAGAACACUUAAAAUGUUUUUCAAAGAUUCACUUUAUUUUUUUUUAACAAACAAUAUUAUCUACACUAGGAGGGAGGGGUGGACUUAGCCUCACAAUGGACUAGCAAUAAUGUGGUGCAAAUUCGCUUUUGACGAAAAUUGAACCUAAGACCUUUCACUUACAAGCGAAUAUGAAUAUCACUAAACCAUAGUACUAAAUGACAACUCAUCGGUACUUAAGGCAUCUGGGAAACCAAAAUUUAAAUACAAUACUAAGUGAAAGAAUGUGAUUAUGUUUACCUGGACAGUGUAAGUGUGAAAGUCAUCAAGUUGUGUCCGGAAGCAUGGGACUUUAUUUGCAUUCAUUUGAAAAUAGACAUUUCAGUUGGUAAUACCACCUAACCUAGUCAAGUCAGGUCAUUUUCCAAUAAAGCCUCUCACGACUCAGCUUCUCUGCAUUCCCACUUUUCAUACUCACAUCCAACCCUGUUAAUGAGAUUAGUGCUUAAUUUAUGACUUUGUUUUUUUUGUUGAGCUUAAUUUAUGACUUUCCUUCACUUUCAAAUGUAACCAAAACAAUGCUACUUAGUAGUUUCCGAAAAGAAAAAAAAACAUCGCUACUUAGUACUACAAUCUAGUAGUAUUCAUCUUCACUUAUAAGUAAGAGGUUUUAAGUUCGAUUUUCGCCAAAUACAAAUUUGAACCACAUUAUUAUGGCUAACCCAUUGUGAGAUUUAGUUCACCCCUUUAAUGUAGAUAAUAUUGUUUGCUAAAAAAAAUGUAACAAACACAAUAGAGUAAUGCUACACUCAUCACAUUUCAUAGAGUAGGAUUCUCUCGAUCCCUUCCUAAUCUCUCAUCUCCCUCCAUUUCUAUUUAAACGAUUAUGAUUAGGUCAAAUCAAUAUCUUGUUUGAAUAUUUAUAUAGAGAAAAAGAUAAAAAAGAAAGUGUGAGAGGAGUGAAGAGAAGAGAAUGGUAAUAGGAAAAAAGAGAAUGACAAUAGGAGAUAAGAGAAUCAUACGUCAAUUUUCAUACCACAUUUAUACAAUCUCUCUAAUAGAGGUAGGGUCCACAAACAUAUGUGUGUUUAUAAAAAAAUAGUACAAAUGUGGUAUAAAAAAAAUGUGGUAAAAACACCAUUAAAUAAUAACUUUUUUCCACAUUUGGUGUGGAGGUUUAAUUCCACAUAUACAGAAAAACUUUUUAAAACCCUAAGCUAAUUCAUUUCUCCUUGCCGUAUGACUACUUAACCAGAGACACCAACCAUUUAGUUCAAAGAUGUCUUGAGUUCAACUUGCACGGAUGCAAGCAGGAUAUAUAUAGUUGUAGUGGUGAGUUUGAUAUUAAGUUAUUACCAAUGGAGGAUUGCUGGUCAUACAAAAAUUAUCCAUCUUCUACAACGAACAAAGGAGGUAUUGCUUGCAACAAAAUUUCCAAAUAAGCGGCCGAGAAAAAUUGAGGGCUCCCGGAAGGUCCUUCACAAGUGUUCGUCUUGGUCUCUAGAGGGUCCUGGGACCAUUCAAAAUCCCUAUAUUGAUCAACCCUUGGUUGUUACUCGCUAUUUUGAUACGAGUAAAUUAAUAGUUCAUUAUGUCACUCAAUACUACGGUCUGGUAGUAUUUCUCUUCACUUGAAAAGUAAGAGGUCUUAGGUUCGAAUCUCGUAAAUAGCGAAUUCGAUACCAAAUUACGUUGCCCAUUAUGUGACUUAGCCAAACUCCCUCUCCCUUUAGUGUAAAAAUAUUGAUGUACUAAAAAAAAAAUUAAUAGUUCGUUAUAUGAGUAUGUAUAACUAUCCUUUUAUUUGCACACACGAAAAAACAAUAAUGAAAAUAGCUUGAAAACUUUGAAUUUUAACGAUAAGGACAAAAUAAAGGGUAAAGUGAAUAGUACUAGAAUUGACUUUUUAGUGUAAAAAUGUAGUUUUUCAUUAAAGUAAACAGUACCAGAAGUUUUUCGUUAAAAUUCUAAAAAAAAAAAGUCAUUUAUCAUUUCCUUGGGUUUUUCUCUUAUGUUACCAAAGAAUGGGUCGUGAUUUAGGAAAAAGAACUUAAUACUAUAUUUGGACAAGAGAAAUAAACUUUGAAUUUGAAUAAAAUUUUCGCAUAAAAAAAUUGGAAUUUGGAAUCUUCAAUUCCCAAGUUUAAAUUUCAUGUAAAUAAGUGUUAUUUCCUAAUUUCUAUGUUAGAUUAACAAAAUAAGAAAAUUUACAAAUUCAAAAAAAUAAAAUCUCAUUUUAAUUUCUAUCAUUUUACAAUUCCUUAAUAAUCUUAAAAUUUUUCAUUCAAAUAUAAUGUAAAUUUUUCUAAAUAAUUGAACAUUGACUUAAAUUGUUAGAAUCGUAUAAUUGCAAGUGCUGAUAAUAUUUUUAUUCAACAAUUUGAGAGAUUUGCAUAUGGGAUUUAUAUUUUAUAUUUUCUAAAUUCCAUAAUUAAGGAGACAGAAUGAGAUGGAAUCUUUUAUAGGAGUUUGAACUUUGAAGUGGGAACAGAAUAGAAGAAUAGAAACUACAGAAAGAGAAUGGAAACGGCUGACUGAGAGUAUGAGAGAGAGAGAGAGAGAGAGAGAGAGAGAGAGCAUUACAUCUGAAAAAGCUCUGAAUUUUAAAACUAUGCUAGUAAAACGACAAUAUGGCCAGAGAAAAAGCUACUAAAACGACACUCUACUACUAGUUUUAUCUUUUACGUACUAUAGCUGGCUAAUCAAAACUUGAUUAAGGCGUUAAUUAAUCGGGUUUAACUUUGCACAAAGUUUGGUGCUCAUUGGGACAAUGCAUUUUUUGUAGUUUCACAGGGGGACAAUGUUACUGAGAUAAUCAAAACUUAAUCAACAAAAACAAGAUUAAAUUAUGGCAUACCAAACACCAAAAAUGGUCCAGACUCCAAACCUUGAGGAAAAUGGGCAAAAUUCAAAUUAAAGGGGGCGUUAUAUUAAUGUUAUUCUUAUUAUUUAGUUGUACCCAUCAUUUGUAUCAUCUAUUUAAAAGAGAUAAGAACCAUAUAUGUUGACUAAUCAUAUCUCUAUUACAAAGAUGAUACAAGUAGGUAGUAAGUGUAACAUUACUAAUGAUGUUAAUGUGGUAAUUAUGAGAUUAUGUAUGGGGUUUAGUUAAACGAAGUGCAUUGCAUGGUGUAUUAGGGUUUAGGGAGUCCAAAAAGCAGCAACCAUGCAUGUUUGCUAUGGCUGGCUGGUGGAGUUUUGACAGCCUUUGCUCUCACGCUUGCUCAGCGGUCCCCGGGAACUGCGUUAUAUGCAAAGCGUGCUACAUUUGGUUUCCACCUCCAAAAUUUCCACUUUACUUUUCUCCUACCCUUCAAAUUCACAAGUGUUCUCAUGGUCACUAGGUGUAUGAUUGAGAAACGCAUAGUCACUAACCAUUAAAUUUGAUGUCAACAGUGAAGAAUACACGAAGAGUAAUACUAUGGAGACUAAAUUUGUAGACUAAAUUAACAAACCAAAUAAGGUGUCAUCAAUAGAAAAUGAGCACAUUUAUUAAUGAUUAAGUAAUAAUCCAGUAAUAAUCCAAUCACCAACUUCCAUGUCAUUUAGUUUAUAAAAUUUAGUCUACAAAUUUAGUCUUCCUAGCAUUAUUCAUAUAUGAAUAUGUUUUCAGUGUUUUAAUAUUAACAUUGUAAAUCAAAUCUAAUGAUAAAUGUCCACGAAUUCUUGCUUACUACAUAUUAUGGUCCUUUUUACAACAUCAUUUGUUUUUUUGUUAAUUUGAUGUAGAACAUAAGACAUAACGCAUUGAAAAACAGUUUGAGAAGCACAAAUCCUACCAGGCUAGCUGGCUCAAACAUUAUGGAUAUGGUUACGGUAUCCAAUUUGGACCAUGACCCGUCAUUUUGAAAAGAACUAUGUCACCAUGAAGACUUCGUGACUAAUAAGCAUUUACUAUCACAAAAACAACAUUCUAAUAUGUUUGUUUAUUUUUCUAUAUACGUAUUUUGUUUCCUAGCAACUCUAGGGUUGUGAUACAUUAUAAAAGAAUCCUUUUGUUUGACCAAAAAAUAAAAAACAAAAGCAUCCUUUCGUGGUGCAAGAGUCUGUUAUCUAAUAAUCAAUAAAUUUGAGGUUUUCUCAAUUCUUGGUAGAUUUCAAAUUGCUAGUGGAUUG
rnacentral:lncRNA from 1 species